GCCCGCGCCUCUCCCGCCACACCUCCCUGCAAGCUGAGGGAGCCGGCUCCUGCCUUGGCCAGGCUAGAAAGGGGCUCCCACAGUGCAGGGGCGGGCUGAAGGGCUCCUCAAGUGCCACCAAAGUGGGAGCCCAGGCAGAGGAGGUGCCGAGAGCGAGCGAGGGCUGCGAGGACUGCCAGCAGCUGUCACCUCUCGUUACCAUCACUCCUAGUGACCAUUUCGGAUAAUCCACCUUGCCUCAUCAAACCAGAAAACAAUUCAAACCUGGCCUCCUUCUAACUGGAAGCCACAUUUUAAGAACUUAUUGUGAAGAACUGGAAAGCCUCCAAUAGAACAGAAGCUAAAAGCAGAAAUUAUAAAAGCUGUUACACCUACUCAGCUCUAUUACAUGUUGGAAAAACUGAACCAGAGAAACAAUUACAUACACUCUUGUCUUCUGGAAAAGCUGAAUUGGGUUUUGGUCUGAAUCAAUAGGAAACAGAAAAAAAAAAGAGAGAGAGACAGAGAGUAAAGAUAAUGGAUCCUUGAGGAAUCACCACACUGUCUUCCACAAUGGUUGAACUAGUUUACAGUCCCACCAACAGUGUAAAAGACCCAUUAUACAGGCUGCCUUUCCAGCUCUCCAAUCAUACUUCCAAGAAAACUGCUCACUCUCAGAACCAAGGUUCAAGUUGUACAUUGGGAUUUGGGUAGAGGUAAGAGGAAACACCCUCAAAUAGAUUUGGAUCAUUCCAGAUGUCCUAUAAAUGAAGUUUGACAUUUGCUCAAGUAUCACCACCUCACUGUAAAAGCAACGAAUCUACCUUCAUUGUGAAAAUUUGGGGACUAGAAUUAAUGAGUACAGUAACCUUAUGGAUAGAACCUUCAGAGUUUUUCAUUAUCUAUGUGAAGAGAUAAUUCUAAAUUAUUUGAGAUCUAGUAUCUGUCAGCUUGGGGACUGGUGUCUAGUCCCAAGACUAGACAAAGGAAACCCUUAUUAGUAUUUUUAUUUUCCAUUUCAAAUAAAAAGGGUAUGUGUUAAAAAAAA
ensembl:lncRNA LINC02046 long intergenic non-protein coding RNA 2046